CGGCCAUUGUAAGAUAUAAAACCGAAAGUUUGCAUGAAGUGCGCUGUUGUUGUUAUUACUGGCGCAAGACAGACCUAACUGCGACAAUAACAGCGCGCAGUGCUUUGCUGAAUAAUCGCAUGUGUGCGUACACGAUAUAAGUCUCUGGUGGAGAUCAAACUGUUCAGAUCAUCAUGGAUAAAACUCAAACAUCUGGAGAUGAAGAUCUUUUGUCAGUGUUCAGCUCAGUUGAUCAGAAGAGAUCAGAAGCAGAGCCCAGCUGUGUGUCUAUGAGGAGUGUUGAGUCUAUGGAUCCACCAGUGAGGUUUAACAGUGGAGAUACGUGGCCUGAUCUCAGUAUAACGUUUUUAAAAAUAUGAUUACAGCAUGACUUUUAAUAUUACCAUAUGUUAUCAGUUAAUCUCACUGUUUUUGUAUAAACAGUGUAUGACAUGAUUAAAAAAGCACUUUUUAAAGUGAAUUUAAUAAUGAUAAAUGUAUAGCUGAUUUUUUUUUACAUACAGUAAUUUAAAGGGGUGAUCAGAUGCCCAUUUUCCACAAGUUGAUAUGAUUCUUUAGGGUCUUAAUGAAAAGUCUAUAAUAUACUUCCGUUAAAAAUUCUCAAUGGUUGACUCAGGGUUUUAGCUGACUAUUCUGACGCCUGUGAUUGGCCACUGCAUUCUAAACAUUAAGUCGUGUGUGAUUGGUUGUAAUGAGCAACACUGUAAAACGUGCAAAAAUAAAAUAUGAUGUAACGUGAGCAAGUCUAAAUUUAAUACAGCAAUCGAAUCGUUUCAUGUAAGUUUUUUAUUUUUUAUUUUCAGUAGUUUCAUGUUUGAAGAAUUAUAGUUUUAUUGAAAAACCAGGGAAUCAAAUCAGUUGUGUCCCCUUCAAAGUAUAUUUUUUGGGUGUUAUGGGGGGGUCCCAUAAUGUUUAUGCGAGGUCCAGGACCUUACGUUUCACAAAGACACAAAAGGAAAACACAUGCUUUUGGGUACAUGAGACGAGAGGAGCUGGAGAAUCCAUCACUCUGCUUAGAGUUUCGUUUUUUGUUGACUUUUUUUUAAAAUUCAUACUUCUCUAUCAGUUUCAGUUUUUGUUGUUCUUGUUGCAGUUACAUGACUUUAACCAGCAGAUGUCCUCAGACAGCACAUCUAAACACUGAAUCUAGCUGGCCUACAUCUACCACUGAUUCUUGAGACAUUUGUAACUGCUAUUAGGUUUAAAAAUGAAAAUAUUUUCAACUGUACAUUUUAUGAGGGAUUAAUAAUAGAAUGUAUUUAACAAAAAUAUGCACCAUUAAUAACAUUUUAUUGUUAUUAUUAUAUCACAUCUAUGACCCUUACUGUCUUCUCACUACAUCAAAAACAGUGUCCACAGAGAUGGGUUCAGUCAUUCAUAAAUAUUGUAAACCAUUUUAAAUGAUGAAAAAGAGUUUGUUUUAUCAAAAGUGACACUUAAUAAUAUCUCAAAUCAAAGCAAGGUUUUUCCAUAUGGUUUCAAAGUUGUGUCCCCAGUUUUUGUCGACAUCAGACAUUUGUUAAAAUGUAAUAAAAUCAGGGAAUGCCUGACUCCACCGCUGCAGUGUACAUCAGUGUCAGACAGGCUCUGGUAAGUUCUAUAGAUUUAUAAUAUUUUAAAUACUACUGUUAAUAUUUCCUGUGUCACAACCAUGAUAUGUAAACACCAUCAUCCAAUUUCUGAGGAAAUUAUUUGAAAUGUUCAGAUCAUUUUAUUAUCCUGAAGCAGCUUCUAUUGGCAUCUAGCAUCAACAGAAAAACAAAAAUGAAAUGGCUCCUGCAUGAACUUCAUUUGCUUUGUGAAAGAAAUGUAAUCUUAAUGGUUGUGUAAAAGAACACCCUUUUUACCUUGCCAAAAUCAACUCAUCAUUCUGGUUGAGGCUGCCUUAAAUGCAAAUGAGCUCUGCUCGCCCUGCCCCUCUCUUCUCUCUCUGGAUAGACACCUCUGUUUACUUUAGACACAUUUAGCCGCUAAACUUGCUAACUAGCACAUUAUUAGGAAAGGCGAUCGCAAAGAUUAAUAAAAAAAACUAUAUAUAUAUAUAUAUAUAUAUAUAUAUAUAUAUACACUACUGUUCAAAAGUUUGGGGUCAGUACAUUUUUAUUGUUUCUUUCUUUUUUCUUUUUUUUUUUAAAGAAAUUAAUACUUUUAUUCACCAAGGAUGUAUUAAGUUAAUAAUUAAACGUUUAUUAAAAGUUAAUAAUAAAUAAUUUACAUUGUUAUAAAAUAUUUAUAUUUUGAAUAAACACUGUACUUUUUAAACUUGUUAUUCAUGAAAGAAUCCUAAAAAAAAAAUCACAGGUCUCAAAAAAUAUUUGGCAGCACAACUGUUGAUAUUAUCCAACAUUGAUCAUUCUAAUAAUAAAUCCACAUAUUAGAAUGAUUUCUGAAGAAUCAUGUGACACUUAAGUCUGGAGUAACAGCCGAUAAAAAUUCAGCUUUUCAUCACAGGAAUAAAUUCUAUUUUAAAGUAUGUUAAAAUAAAAAACAUUAUUUUAUAUUGUAAAAACAUUUUGCAAUAUUACUGUUUUUUUUCUAUAUUUUUAAUCAAAUAAAUUCAGCCUUGAUGAGCAUAAGAGACUACUUUAAAGACUAUUACAAGUCUUACUGACCCCAAACUUUUGAACGGUACUGUAUAUAUAUAUAUAUAUAUUCACUUCUGCUGUAAGUGAAGCUGGAUCAUGAAUGAUUUGCAUGAACACAGACGGAUAUAUGUAGAUCUGGAGGCGCAUUCCCUUCACAAACAAAUCCAGCAACACAACACCUCAAUAAGAGAUAUUCUUGUCUAACUUACAUCCCUGCUCCAGCAUCAAAACAAAGAGGUUAGACUGUUACAGCUGAUCUGAGGUAAAUCACUCAUGUCAAUCAACUAUGGUGGGAGCGACCUCUGUUGGUGUGAUGACACACCGACAGGCAUCUGUGAAUGGCUCGAUUUGACAAAGGGAAUAUUUUUUUUACAGAUUAAUUAAAAACCACUGCAUGGAUUUUUAUCAUUAUAGGGUAGAUUUGUACAUACACUGACAACACACAUUCAUGUUCAAACUACAUGUAAAAAUGAACUUAGCAUCCGAUGACCACUUUAAAUGAUGAACUUUGAUCUCUCUCUGUUUUAGAUCAGUUCAUCAGAAGAGAACAGAAGCAGAGCCCAGCUGUGUGUCUUUAAGAAGUGAUGAGUCUAUGGAUCCACCAGUAAGGUUUAACAGUGGAGAUACACAGCCUGGUCUCAGCUCAGUUCAUCAGAGAUCAGAAGCAGAGCCCAGCUGUGUGUCUUUAAGAAGUGAUGAGUCUAUGGAUCCACCAGUAAGGUUUAACAGUGGAGAUACGUUGCCUGAUCUCAGUCCAGCUCAUCAGAAGAGAUCAGAAGCAGAGCCCAGCUGUGUGUCUUUAAGGAGUGAUGAGUCUAUGGAUCCGCCAGUAAGGUUUAACAGUGGAGAGACACGGCCUGAUCUCAGGUAUAACAUUUGUAUAAAAAUGUUUAACAUUCUUAAGCAAUUAAAUGUUGGCACUUAUACUUGAGUUGAAUACAAAUUUCAGCUGAGGGGGUGGAGCUUUCAAACCACACUUUGCUUAGAUUGUAAAUCACUGGUUUUGGUAUAAAUCUGUGUUAAUUUUAAUUUGUAAUUUUGACAGCUCCUGAAAUGGAUCAUGCCAUUGAUAUUACCAGAGCACUCAGCAGUUUAAGUAAAUUGAAAACUUGAUUGAUAGAAGGAUGCAGUUAUUUUAUGGACGGAGCAAGAACAAUAUAUGUGUCUAAAAUGGAUGUACACAGUUCAGUUAAAUAGUAAAGCUCACCCUCUUUAACAGUGCAGUUAAACUAAAUGAGCAAAGCAAACUUUGUAAUGAAGCUGAAUAACCUCAACAUUAACAACAACACUGAAAAAAGAGUUUCUGAUGAUUGAU